rnacentral:lncRNA from 1 species
CUGAGAAUGAAUGGGCAGCUCAAGUCACUUCUUCAGUUUUAUAGCCACGGAAGCCGCACACGGUGAUUUAUAAUCCUGGAACAGCUGCUGUCUCCGGGGGACAUGGAUCGAUGUUGAGGAACAGACCCAUCAACGAUGCAGACAAGUGAAGGCUGCGAGAUCCAAGGAGCAGGAUCCAUGCCACAUUCUCAGCCUGGAUGGCACACAGAAGAGAGCAAAUCACAUGAACAUGGAGGGUGAGCUCCAGCUUCAGGACAGCACCCCUGUUAACAUAUGUUUGACACACAUUAAUACACUUG